GAGUUUGAUCCUGGCUCAGAACGAACGCUGGCGGCGUGCUUAACACAUGCAAGUCGAACGGGAUCCAGAGCUUGCUCUGGUGAGAGUGGCGCACGGGUGAGUAACGCGUGGAUAACCUGCCCUGGUAUCUGGAAUAACAUCUCGAAAGGGGUGCUAAUACCGGAUAAGCCCACGGGGUCCUCGGACUCUGUGGGAAAAGGUGGCUUCGGCUACCGUAUCAGGAUGGGUCCGCGUACCAUUAGCUAGUUGGCGGGGUAAUGGCCCACCAAGGCGACGAUGGUUAGCUGGUCUGAGAGGAUGAUCAGCCACACUGGAACUGAGACACGGUCCAGACUCCUACGGGAGGCAGCAGUGGGGAAUUUUGCGCAAUGGGGGAAACCCUGACGCAGCAACGCCGCGUGAGUGAUGAAGGCCUUCGGGUCGUAAAGCUCUGUCAGAAGGGAAGAAAAGGUACAGGUUAAUACCCUGUGCCCCUGACGGUACCUUCAAAGGAAGCACCGGCUAACUCCGUGCCAGCAGCCGCGGUAA
rnacentral:rRNA from 1 species